rnacentral:rRNA from 1 species
AACGAACGCUGGCGGCAGGCUUAACACAUGCAAGUCGAGCGGAGAUGAGGUGCUUGCACCUUAUCUUAGCGGCGGACGGGUGAGUAAUGCUUAGGAAUCUGCCUAUUAGUGGGGGACAACAUUCCGAAAGGAAUGCUAAUACCGCAUACGCCCUACGGGGGAAAGCAGGGGAUCUUCGGACCUUGCACUAAUAGAUGAGCCUAAGUCGGAUUAGCUAGUUGGUGGGGUAAAGGCCUACCAAGGCGACGAUCUGUAGCGGGUCUGAGAGGAUGAUCCGCCCCACUGGGACUGAGACACGGCCCAGACUCCUACGGGAGGCAGCAGUGGGGAAUAUUGGACAAGGGGCGGAAGCCUGAUCCAGCCAUGCCGCGUGUGUGAAGAAGGCCUUUUGGUUGUAAAGCACUUUAAGCGAGGAGGAGGCUACCUGGAUUAAUACUCUAGGAUAGUGGACGUUACUCGCAGAAUAAGCACCGGCUAACUCUGUGCCAGCAGCCGCAGUAACAC